UUUUCUGUCAGGUCUUCCCAACACAUUUGGAGAGUACGACGAAACCCCGACAGUAACAUCCUCCAAUUUAAAGGAAUUUGCUAUGGAUGGCCUGGUGAAUAUAGUGGGAGGCUGUUGUGGGACUACACCAGGGCACAUCAGGGCCAUAUCAGAAGCAGUCAAACAGUGUCAGCCCAGAGUUCCUGCUGCUGAUAUUUAUCAGGACUACAUGCUGCUCUCAGGUAAUAC